AAAUAAUAAUGCCACAAAUCUUAAAUACUUAAUAUUUAUAGAGUUUGAAGAAGCCAAAAAGCACUAAACAAAAUGUUGCAUAAUUAAAUAUGAGAUUAUAGCAUUAAAAUUAGACCCUAAUGGCAUUGUUGAGGGAAGAUGAAGGAACAUUCCUUCCUAUAUUAAUUAAUUGAUAUAUUUAAGCCACUAAAGUUUAAUUGUUGGCAUAAUAAAAUAAAUAAAUAUUUCAAGACUUAUAAUUAAUUAUUA
rnacentral:lncRNA from 1 species